GCCUGGGUGGCUCAGCAGUUGAGCAUCUGCCUUUGGCUCAGGGCGUGAUCCCUGGGGCUUGGGAUCGAGUCCCACAUCAGGCU
rnacentral:tRNA from 1 species